GGCUCAGGAUUAACGCUGGCGGCAUGCCUAAUACAUGCAAGUCGAAUGGGGAGCUUGCUUCCCAUGGCGAACGGGUGAGUAAUACGUAGGUAACCUACCUUUAGGACGAGGAUAACCUUUGGAAACGAAGGAUAAUACUGGAUAGUAUAGAUUUCCGCAUGGAGAUAUAUUUAAAGAUUUAUCACCUAGAGAGGGGCCUGCGGUGCAUUAGCUAGUUGGCGGGAUAAAAGCCCACCAAGGCGAUGAUGCAUAGCCGGACUGAGAGGUUGUACGGCCACAAUGGAACUGAGAACGGUCCAUACUCCUACGGGAGGCAGCAGUAGGGAAUUUUCGGCAAUGGGCGGAAGCCUGACCGAGCAAAUGCCGCGUGAAUGAUGAAGUAUUUCGGUAUGUAAAGUUCUUUUAUCUAGGAAGAAAAAACAAAUUGACGGUACUAGAUGAAUAAGCUCCGGCUAACUACGUGCCAGCCGCUGC
rnacentral:rRNA from 1 species